AAAUUGAAGAGUUUGAUCAUGGCUCAGAUUGAACGCUGGCGGCAGGCCUAACACAUGCAAGUCGAGCGGAAACGAGUUAUCAGAACCUUCGGGG
rnacentral:rRNA from 1 species